GUCUAUGGCCAUACCACCCUGAAUGUGCCCGAUUCCAUCUGACCCUAGCAGCUAAGCAGCCUUAGGCAUGGCUUGUACUGGGAGGGGAGAAAUGAACUGUACGUGCCAUGUUGU
rnacentral:rRNA from 1 species